rnacentral:rRNA from 1 species
UACUAGCGGUCCAAGUCGCAGCCACAUUUAUUGGGUCUAAAACAUCCGUAGCUUGUCAGGUAAGUUUUCUAUGAAAUCUCGGGUCUUAAGCUUGGGGCGAGUGGAAAAUACUGCCUGACUAGAGACCGGAAGACGCAGGAAGUACGUCCAAAGUAGCGGUAAAAUGUGUUAAUCUUGGACGGACUCACAAUAGCGAAGGCAUCCUGCGAGGACGGUUCUGACAGUAAGGGAUGAAGGCUAGGGGCGCAAAACGGAUUAGAUACCCCCGUA